rnacentral:rRNA from 1 species
UGAAAGGCCAAUCAAACCGGGAGAUAGCUGGUUCUCCCCGAAAGCUAUUUAGGUAGCGCCUCGUGAAUUCAUCUCCGGGGGUAGAGCACUGUUUCGGCAAGGGGGUCAUCCCGACUUACCAACCCGAUGCAAACUGCGAAUACCGGAGAAUGUUAUCACGGGAGACACACGGCGGGUGCUAACGUCCGUCGUGAAGAGGGAAACAACCCAGACCGCCAGCUAAGGUCCCAAAGUCAUGGUUAAGUGGGAAACGAUGUGGGAAGGCCCAGACAGCCAGGAUGUUGGCUUAGAAGCAGCCAUCAUUUAAAGAAAGCGUAAUAGCUCACUGGUCGAGUCGGCCUGCGCGGAAGAUGUAACGGGGCUAAACCAUGCACCGAAGCUGCGGCAGCGACGCUUAUGCGUUGUUGGGUAGGGGAGCGUUCUGUAAGCCUGUGAAGGUGUACUGUGAGGUAUGCUGGAGGUAUCAGAAGUGCGAAUGCUGACAUAAGUAACGAUAAAGCGGGUGAAAAGCCCGCUCGCCGGAAGACCAAGGGUUCCUGUCCAACGUUAAUCGGGGCAGGGUGAGUCGACCCCUAAGGCGAGGCCGAAAGGCGUAGUCGAUGGGAAACAGGUUAAUAUUCCUGUACUUGGUGUUACUGCGAAGGGGGGACGGAGAAGGCUAUGUUGGCCGGGCGACGGUUGUCCCGGUUUAAGCGUGUAGGCUGGUUUUCCAGGUAAAUCCGGAAAAUCAAGGCUGAGGCGUGAUGACGAGGCACUACGGUGCUGAAGCAACAAAUGCCCUGCUUCCAGGAAAAGCCUCUAAGCAUCAGGUAACAUUAAAUCGUACCCCAAACCGACACAGGUGGUCAGGUAGAGAAUACCAAGGCGCUUGAGAGAACUCGGGUGAAGGAACUAGGCAAAAUGGUGCCGUAACUUCGGGAGAAGGCACGCUGAUAUGUAGGUGAAGCGACUUGCUCGUGGAGCUGAAAUCAGUCGAAGAUACCAGCUGGCUGCAACUGUUUAUUAAAAACACAGCACUGUGCAAACACGAAAGUGGACGUAUACGGUGUGACGCCUGCCCGGUGCCGGAAGGUUAAUUGAUGGGGUUAGCGGUAACGCGAAGCUCUUGAUCGAAGCCCCGGUAAACGGCGGCCGUAACUAUAACGGUCCUAAGGUAGCGAAAUUCCUUGUCGGGUAAGUUCCGACCUGCACGAAUGGCGUAAUGAUGGCCAGGCUGUCUCCACCCGAGACUCAGUGAAAUUGAACUCGCUGUGAAGAUGCAGUGUACCCGCGGCAAGACGGAAAGACCCCGUGAACCUUUACUAUAGCUUGACACUGAACAUUGAGCCUUGAUGUGUAGGAUAGGUGGGAGGCUUUGAAGUGUGGACGCCAGUCUGCAUGGAGCCGACCUUGAAAUACCACCCUUUAAUGUUUGAUGUUCUAACGUAGGCCCCUUAUCGGGGUUGCGGACAGUGUCUGGUGGGUAGUUUGACUGGGGCGGUCUCCUCCUAAAGAGUAACGGAGGAGCACGAAGGUUGGCUAAUCCUGGUCGGACAUCAGGAGGUUAGUGCAAUGGCAUAAGCCAGCUUGACUGCGAGCGUGACGGCGCGAGCAGGUGCGAAAGCAGGUCAUAGUGAUCCGGUGGUUCUGAAUGGAAGGGCCAUCGCU